rnacentral:rRNA from 1 species
GACGGGCGGUGUGUACGGGCAGGCUAGAGUGUGGUAGGGGAGACUGGAACUCCUGGUGUAGCGGUGAUAUGCGCAGAUAUCAGGAAGAACACCGAUGGCGAAGGCAGGUCUCUGGGCCAUUACUGACACUGAGAAGCGAAAGCAUGGGGAGCGAACAGGAUUAGAUAUCCUGGUAGUCCAUGCCGUAAACGUUGGGCACUAGGUGUGGGGAACAUUCCACGUUUUCCGCGCCGUAGCUAACGCAUUAAGUGCCCCGCCUGGGGAGUACGGCCGCAAGGCUAAAACUCAAAGGAAUUGACGGGGGCCCGCACAAGCGGCGGAGUAUGCGGAUUAAUUCGAUGCAACGCGAAGAACCUUACCAAGGCUUGACAUGCACCGGACGACUCCAGAGAUGGGGUUUUCUUCGGACUGGUGCACAGGUGGUGCAUGGUUGUCGUCAGCUCGUGUCGUGAGAUGUUGGGUUAAGUCCCGCAACGAGCGCAACCCUCGUUCCAUGUUGCCAGCGCGUUAUGGCGGGGACUCAUGGGAGACUGCCGGGGUCAACUCGGAGGAAGGUGGGGACGACGUCAAAUCAUCAUGCCCCUUAUGUCUUGGGCUUCACGCAUGCUACAAUGGCCGGUACAAUGGGUUGCGAAACUGUGAGGUGGAGCGAAUCCCAAAAGCCGGUCUCAGUUCGGAUUGGGGUCUGCAACUCGACCCCAUGAAGUCGGAGUCGCUAGUAAUCGCAGAUCAGCAACGCCGCGGUGAAUACGUUCCCGGGCCUUGUACACACCGCCCGUA